rnacentral:rRNA from 1 species
UACGGGGGGAGCAAGCGUUGUUCGGAUUUACUGGGCGUAAAGGGCGCGUAGGCGGCCACCGCAAGUCGACUGUGAAAUCUCCGGGCUUAACCCGGAAAGGUCAGCCGAUACUGCGGGGCUAGAGUGCAGAAGGGGCAACUGGAAUUCUCGGUGUAGCGGUGAAAUGCGUAGAUAUCGAGAGGAACACCUGCGGCGAAGGCGG